UACGUAGGGUGCAAGCGUUAAUCGGAAUUACUGGGCGUAAAGCGUGCGCAGGCGGUUGUGCAAGACCGAUGUGAAAUCCCCGGGCUUAACCUGGGAAUGGCAUUGGUGACUGCACGGCUAGAGUGUGUCAGAGGGGGGUAGAAUUCCACGUGUAGCAGUGAAAUGCGUAGAGAUGUGGAGGAAUACCGAUGGCGAAGGCAGCCCCCGUGGGAUAACGACUGACGCUCAUGCACGAAAGCGUGGGGAGCAAACAGG
rnacentral:rRNA from 1 species